rnacentral:rRNA from 1 species
GCAUAUCAAUUAAGCGGAGGAAAAGAAACUAACAAGGAUUCCCCUAGUAACUGCGAGUGAAGCGGGAAAAGCUCAAAUUUAAAGUCUGGCGGUCUUUUGGCCGUCCGAGUUGUAAUCUGGAGAAGCGUUUUCCGCGUCGGACCGUGUACAAGUCUUCUGGAACGGAGCGUCAUAGAGGGUGAGAAUCCCGUCUUUGACACGGACUGCCGAUGCUUUUGUGAUGCGCUCUCGAAGAGUCGAGUUGUUUGGGAAUGCAGCUCAAAACGGGUGGUAAAUUCCAUCUAAAGCUAAAUAUUGGCGAGAGACCGAUAGCGAACAAGUACCGUGAGGGAAAGAUGAAAAGCACUUUGGAAAGAGAGUUAAACAGUACGUGAAAUUGUUGAAAGGGAAACGUUUGAAGUCAGUCGCGUUGGUCGAGACUCAGCCUUGCUUCUGCCUGGCGUAUUUCUUGGCCGACGGGUCAGCAUCAAUUUUGACCGUCGGAUAAAGGUUGGAGGAAUGUGGCAUCUCUCGGGAUGUGUUAUAGCCUCUGAUUCGCAUACGGCGAUUGGGAUUGAGGAACUCAGCACGCCUUUAUGGUCGGGGUUCGCCCACGUAACGUGCUUAGGAUGCUGGCAUAAUGGCUUUAAGCGACCCGUCUGGAAAACCACGGACCAA